UAGGGAAUCUUCCACAAUGGACGAAAGUCUGAUGGAGCAACGCCGCGUGAGUGAUGAAGGGUUUCGGCUCGUAAAACUCUGUUGUUGGAGAAGAACAGGUGUGAGAGUAACUGUUCACAUCUUGACGGUAUCCAACCAGAAAGCCACGGCUAACUACGUGCCAGCAGCCGCGGUAAUACGUAGGUGGCAAGCGUUGUCCGGAUUUAUUGGGCGUAAAGCGAGCGCAGGCGGUUUCUUAGGUCUGAUGUGAAAGCCUUCGGCUUAACC
rnacentral:rRNA from 1 species